GGGAUUGCAGUGGCAAAGCUAGGCUAGGUCUUGGAGGCUGGUGUAAGGCGAUGUGGGUGAAGGCAGGAGGCUGAUGGAAAGACUGGGGGGAAGAAAAGCCGAAAUGGAUUCACGGUGCCUUGGAUGAAGGACGAGAGGGGAACUGCAAGCUCCUUCAACUGGUUCUGUCCGGUGAGAAGUGAUCAAGCUUGGGCUGACAAGAGGCUCAGGGAGCCCUCACGUUCUUUCGCUUUUUUACCUGCCAAUCAAACUGCUACAAGACAACACCCUGAUCUGGCAUGGACAUUCAUUGCAGUCACCUGGAGUCACGGAAAUGACCAUGAUUGCCUGAACUUUCAUGACUUCUGUGGAUAACUGUGGUUGCAGAAAAGAGAAAACCUGGACCGUGAGGGACAUUUCACUCCCUGGGCUUUGGUACAUGGCCUCCCUACAGCGUUGGCUCAGCUCUAGCUACUUGGAAGGUCGUGGCAAUGCUGUCUCAGAAUGUCCGUUUCUAGAGUACAGAGAAGAAAUUCUAGCUUGACGUCCACGUGCAUUUGUCUGUGUUUCAGAGGAAAUUCCAAUUCUAAACUCUUGGAAGAAACAAUUUCUCGGCAUGCUGAAGAGAAUUGCUGUUUUUUGGCACCUGAAACACUUUUACCCAAGGGUUCUGAUUAUUUAAAUAAUUGGUAUGCUAUAAAUAUUCUGGUUGACAGAAAUGUGGUUUAAUGUAGAUGAGUUGUAAAAACAUGAGACAAACAUGC
rnacentral:lncRNA from 1 species